CGGGGUCUGAACACCCUUUCCCACCUCGGUCCGCCUCGCGGCACGGGCGGCACGGGCGGCGCGCGGAAGAAUCCCGAUCGCGAGAACCGGGGCGGACUCGGCCGUGGUCCUGAGCUGUUUCUCUGACGCCCCACGGUGUGUCCCGGAGCUGAGGGUGUCCACAGAAAUACGGAUAGGAGCCGGAUCAGUCUGUGCCCCACAGGUGGCGGCUAAUUCUGGCGGCUGGAGAUCGUGGGUGGGAAAAAUCAGAGGACAUGAGCUCUGGAGCCCACUGGGCCCUGUGUUCCUGCUGGGGCACUGAGAUCUG
rnacentral:lncRNA from 1 species